CCUUUCCUCUCUCUCUCUUUUUUUUUUGAAGGGGGGAUAAUAUUUUCUAAUAAACGAGGCGCAUGAAUUGAAAUUUUUGUCUUGUACUCACAUUCAUGUUCCGCGGGAACUGUCUGGAUUGUUUGUCUGGAAGUUAUUUCUGAAGCAGAUGCUGAAAGAUUAAACAAAUUGGUUCAUUCUUUAUCAACUGGGAUGUAAAGAUAUAAGAUGGCAUCGAAAACGUCCAGUGGUGCUGAAUAGAAAAGAAGGGAAAAAAUUAAGAACUUAAUUUCAUCAAAGCUGCGCUUUACAGUUACAAGGCUGGCUGGCGAAAUGCGAAAAUUCAAAUGAAAUAAGUAAUUCAUAAAAAAAAAAGUAAUAACAGAUAGCUCAGAAGAAAAUGUGGGUGAAGUUGGAGAAUAUAGCAAGUUUGGUUCAAAUAAAAGCAAACAAGUAAUUGAAAUUUCUGGAAACGAGGAGAAACUGAUUAACUUCAAUGACCCUCCAUCAUGGUCAACAAUUUCAGACAAAAUAUAAAAUUUUUCUUAAUAGAACAUGGACCAGAUCAAGGAUAAGAUGCUGAUUUCAGGGAAUCUAAUUCAGAGGAUGGCAGAUGAUUUUCUAGAGAAUGGUGUUUUAAAAAGUGCUCUAAUGGGGAGGUGUUCAUCUAACAAUUUAAUCCGAUGUUUAUAUAUGAGAUACUUCAACACAACUAUAUUUAUGCAUGUUUGCCCUGAAGGUAAAGAAAAAGAUGCCAGAUUUUACAGCUGCAGAGAAGUCUGUAGGUAAACAGAAGGGAAUAUUAUUAAAAAUAUUUCAGCCUAGGCUUGCUGAAACUGAGAAAACAAAUUGUAAUCUGUAGACUUCAUAUUACAAUCUACCAUCUCUAAGAAGAAGUAUCAUUAUUUUUUUAAUUAAAAAUAUUAAAAACAUAAAACACCAAAAUAAAGAUUCAAAGCCAUAAUAUGGUGUUAGAAAUAUCUGUUAUUAAGUAUAGCAAAGCUGCAAAUGUUCAUCAGAAUUAUCACUUAGAUAUAUUAUAAUUUAAAUGUAUUUUAAUGAUCAUAUAAAUUAUCAAAAAAGUUAAAUAAAGACGUAAACUAUUAAAAGACGCGUUUGUUGCUAUCAAAUAACCCAGUUUGUUAAUAAGUAAUACAGAUUAAGUUUGAAAUAUGAAUUAAACAGUUUACGUUCGCCAAACGAUAGCGU